GACGAACGCUGGCGGCGUGCCUAAUACAUGCAAGUAGAACGCUGAAGAGAGGAGCUUACUCUUCUUGGAUGAGUUGCGAACGGGUGAGUAACGCGUAGGUAACCUGCCUUGUAGCGGGGGAUAACUAUUGGAAACGAUAGCUAAUACCGCAUAACAAUGGAUGACACAUGUCAUUUAUUUGAAAGGGGCAAUUGCUCCACUACAAGAUGGACCUGCGUUGUAUUAGCUAGUAGGUGAGGUAAUGGCUCACCUAGGCGACGAUACAUAGCCGACCUGGGAGGGUGAUCGGGCACACUGGGACUGAGACACGGCCCAGACUCCUACGGGAGGCAGCAGUAGGGAAUCUUCGGCAAUGGGGGCAACCCUGACCGAGCAACGCCGCGUGAGGGAAGAAGGUUUUCGGAUCGUAAAGCUCUGUUGUAAGUCAAGAACGGGUGUGAGAGUGGAAAGUUCACGCUGUGACGGUAGCUUACCAGAAAGGGACGGCUAACUACGUG
rnacentral:rRNA from 1 species